rnacentral:rRNA from 1 species
UACAGAGGUGGCAAGCGUUGUUCGGAAUUACUGGGCGUAAAGGGCGCGUAGGCGGCCAUCUAAGUCAGACGUGAAAUCCCCCGGCUCAACCUGGGAACUGCGUCUGAUACUGGACGGCUUGAGUUUGGGAGAGGGAUGUAGAAUUCCAGGUGUAGCGGUGAAAUGCGUAGAUAUCUGGAGGAAUACCGGUGGCGAAGGCGGCAUCCUGGACCAAUACUGACGCUGAGGCGCGAAAGCUAGGGGAGCAAACGGG